AACGAACGCUGGCGGCGUGCCUAAGACAUGCAAGUCGUGCGGAAAGGCUCCUUCGGGAGUACUCGAGCGGCGCACGGGUGAGUAACACGUGGGUAAUCUACCUGAGGGUCUGGGAUAACCCCGGGAAACUGGGGCUAAUACCGGAUGAGACCACGGCGUCCUCGGACGCAGCGGUCAAAGGUGGCCUCUCCUUGGAAGCUAUCGCCCGCAGAUGAGCCCGCGUCCCAUUAGCUAGUGGCGGGGUAACGGCCCACCAAGGCGACGAUGGGUAGCUGGUCUGAGAGGAUGAUCAGCCACACUGGAACUGAGACACGGUCCAGACUCCUACGGGAGGCAGCAGUCGGGAAUUUUGGGCAAUGGGCGAAAGCCUGACCCAGCAACGCCGCGUGAGGGAU
rnacentral:rRNA from 1 species